CAUCACUGACUCGAUGGACGUGAGUUUGAGUAAGCUCCAGGAGUUGGUGAUGAACAGAGAAGCCUGACAUGCUGUAGUCCAUGGGAUCACAAAGAGUUGGACAUGACUGAGUGACUGAUCUGAACAGACCGGGGUUCCCUCAAGAUGGAUGGCACACUUUGUGCCUCUUCACUGUAAGAGCAACUCUCUUCCACUCCCUCAGGGAUGUUACUCUGACUCUUCUGAGCAACUACUGCUAGCAAGUGAUAUCCUUCAGUCUUUUUAUAAACUUACUGGACCAGCAGAUGUUGGGGGAAGGCAGAGGAAACUAACCAAUAUCAGCCUUGGAAAGAAUCAUUAACUUCCCUGUCAGAGGCAUGAGUCACCCUCCAUCUAUUGGACACUGUAGGGUUGCAGGAAGUUCCUAUCAUAAUCUUUAUAAUGUAGGCAUUGUGCAGUCCCAAAGAAGAAGGGGCAGGUACGCAGACUCAUCUCAUUGCAAAUGCAGGAACUUCUGUGUUCUUCUGUUUAAAAGGUGGCCCAUCAACAGAGAACAGAAUAUGCCAGUGUGACCAUGAGUCAUUAAGCAAAACCAUGGCUGCUUAGGUUGAAAUGUCUGCCAAAGCUGGGAGCAGUAAGACUGUCCCAGUCUCCCACUCCCUCCCAGGAAGGAUCAAAGAAGUUUCAUCUCAAGACAUACAUGAGGAGAGGAAAGAACAUGGUAUCUGAACUUCUCAAAUAAAGACAUGGUUGGAUCCUUUAUAAGGGCAAGGAUAGAACCACAACUUUUCCUGAAAUACAUUAUGAGGAAAAGGUGAAAAUGAGCCAACCUAAGAAUAUAUUAGAUACAUAAUAUGUAAUAUAAUUGUCUUCAAAUCUAAUAUAUUAGACAUAUUAGAUCUGAAGAUAAUUCAUUAUGACCAAGUUAGGUUUAUCCCAAGUAUGUAAAGCUACUAGACACUGGAAAAUCUAACUGAUAUAAUUCACCCACGAAUAUAUUCCUAUAGUUGGUCUCUAAAGAUGACCUCUUGCCAUCUUGUCCUAUGUUGUCCCUCUGGACCUGAAUCUAGGCUAGCCUGUGAUUUACUUUAAACCACUGAACAUGGCUAUGCUGAUUUCAGGAAAAUGCCUUAAAGCCUGGAAACUCCUGCUUCACACUUUGGGCCACCAUGGAAUAUAUCAGCUACCAAGCUGGAGAGACCUUGUAAAGGCCAAAUAUAGAGACCAUAGAGAGAAAAAGGGCCCUGAGACUAUGUUGGGAAAGACAGGAACAGCAUUCUCAGCAUGCCAGCUGCACUGGGACUUCCAGAAACCUCCAAGGAAGUGCAAGGCAUUUAAUGAGCCAUCUGGGACCUUUCAACAUCCAAGCUGAGAAUCCAGAUGAAUCCAGAGUCAGAGCUACUGCCACUGCAUGAGACCACCCAAACAAGAAUGGGAGAGAAACACCUUGCUGAACCCUCUUAACCCACAGAAUGUAAGGGAUAAUAAACGGCAGAAAUUUGGGUAGAGACUGUUAUAAAACAAUAGAUAAAAGAGAAAAUUCAUAAAACAAUAGAUAAAAGAAAAAAGAUCAUUUCAAAGAAUGCAGAAAUGCAGAAAAAAAAACAUUUGGGAUCAAUUCUACAUUCAUUAAUGAUAAAAAAUAACAGAAUGGACCUAACUUCCUUAAUCUGAUAAUGGAAAUCUAUGGG